CCCUUACCAUGCGAUCAAGUUACAAACAUGUUUGUAAAUCCACAGAGAUACAAUAACGGUAAGAGUUGGUAUGAAUUAAAAGUGUUUUCAGCCUCCUGUCUCACUCCUGCCUGAUCACCUCGUUUCAACCCCCCGGCACAGGCAGGGUUGCCAACCACCAGGCCAGGCUGCCCCAGAGCCACACCAUUCACUGCUUAGAGACAGAUGAUGACCUCCCAGUUGUAUCAGACCCAGGAGCAGGAAGCCAAAACAUGCACGUGAGGAAUGAAAGGAAUCACAAGUUGGGAGGACACUGUGGAAAUGCCACGCUGACUGGACGUGUGUUCUGUCAAGCAUGCAGGCAGGACACAGCACCACUUACAGGGUGCCAUGGCCCAGAUUAUGAAUGUUAACUACAUGAGCUGAAAGACCACACCUAAGAGCAAGUAAACCUGGUGCACUACGUACAGCUCCAAGCUGGUAAGUCAGCAGAACGCUACGCUGCAUUACGGGACUCACCGGUCACGGCAGAAUAAAGGCUAACAGACUGAAUACCUUUCUCCGAUAAGCUUGUUUAUUUAACCGCAAGUGACAAUUGAUUUAGGGGUCUGCCCUAUCCACACGGCACAGAGAGGGGUUUUACUUCUGUCACGGCACUCGUGCUGAUAAAGAAAAGGCAGAAGUGCCCUGAAUUGAGCCAGGCCCCACGCAGAGGGCAGCCCUCCGGGAGCAGCGUAGCGAACCACCCCCAGCAGACAGCGCUGCGGGAGCGCCCGCGAGAGCCCCCAGUCCCUCCCACAGCCCUCAGCGCCCUCCGCCGCCCCCCGUCCCGCCUCUCACCCGCGCCGCCGCCGUCGGGUCUCGGUCGAUGUCCGCGUCCGAGAACCUGCCGAGGAAACACAACGCCGUGAGGCGGCGAGGCGGGGACGCGCGGGCAGGGAAGAAGGAACGGGGCGCUCACCGCGCUGCUGCUUCUGCAGCCGCCGCCAUACCGCCCGCCGCCCCCAGGAAACUUCUGGAGCCGCCGCGGCGCCCGCGCAGCACGCCCCAAGGCCGCAGCCGCGCGCGCGUGGCCUGACGGGAUACGCCGGGACCAAGCGGCCUCACAAACUCCUCCCACCCCCCGCGUGACGGGCCGGGGCGGCCAUAGCUACAGAGGCGCGCACCCUUCCCGCCCCUUCCAUAGAGUUGGAGGACCGUCGGGACAGAGCGGCGCGCAAGAGGGAAGACGCCGCGGGGCGCAUGCGCGGGGCGGCCGCUGUGAGGGAGUUGGCUGCGCUGGGGCGGGCGGUGUCGCGUUCGAGUUUGCUUCCAGCCCGCCAAUUAAGCUAACAAAAUCGUUAAAUCGUUAACAGAAUGGGAUCCUGAUCGCCUCCAGGGACGUGACUGCACCCCUUCCCUGUGCAGCCUGUGCCUCACCUCUCUGAGCUGCAGUUUCCCCUAACAGCCUGAGCCUGCCCUGGCUGUGGCGUCAGUCAAGCCUUACCACCCCAGACCCACGUCGAUUAAUCACGCUGUCCUAUUUCUCGGUGUAUUUUGGUUAUACGCAUAACGAUCAUCAAAACACCAUAAGAAUCCAAAAACAUUUCAG
rnacentral:lncRNA from 1 species